AGAGUUUGAUCCUGGCUCAGGAUGAACGCUAGCUACAGGCUUAACACAUGCAAGUCGAGGGGCAGCAUGGUCUUAGCUUGCUAAGGCCGAUGGCGACCGGCGCACGGGUGAGUAACGCGUAUCCAACCUGCCUUACACUCUUGGACAGCCUUCUGAAAGGGAGAUUAAUACAAGAUGUUAUCAUGAGUAAGCAUUUUCGCAUGAUUAAAGGUUUACCGGUGUAAGAUGGGGAUGCGUUCCAUUAGAUAGUAGGCGGGUAACGGCCACCUAGUCUUCGAUGGAUAGGGGUUCUGAGAGGAAGGUCCCCCANAUUGGAACUGAGACACGGUCCAAACACCUACGGGAGCA
rnacentral:rRNA from 1 species